rnacentral:lncRNA from 1 species
AUGACUUCCCUUCACGUAUUUGUACAUGGCUAUCAUGUCUCCUCUCAGCCUUCUCUUCUGCAGGCUAAACAUGCCCAGCUCUUUAAGCCGCUCCUCAUAGGGCUUGUUCUCCAGACCCUUAAUCAUUUUAGUCGCCCUCCUCUGGAUGCUUUCCAGCUUGUCAACAUCUCCCUUCAACUGUGGUGCCCAAAAUUGGACACAGUAUUCCAGGUGUGGUCUGACCAAGGCAGAAUAGACACUAUACUCCUAUUGAUGCAGGCCAAAAUCCCAUUGGCUUUCAUAGCAGCCACAUCACAUUGCUGGCUCAUGUUUAACUUGUUGUCCACAAGGACUCCAAGAUCUUUUUCACAUGUACUGCUGUCCCCCAUUCUGUAUCUUUGCAUUCCAUUUUUUCUGCCGAAGUGA